rnacentral:rRNA from 1 species
AGUGAACGCUGGCGGUAGGCCUAACACAUGCAAGUCGAACGGCAGCACAGUAAGAGCUUGCUCUUACGGGUGGCGAGUGGCGGACGGGUGAGGAAUACAUCGGAAUCUACUUUUUCGUGGGGGAUAACGUAGGGAAACUUACGCUAAUACCGCAUACGACCUACGGGUGAAAGCAGGGGAUCUUCGGACCUUGCGCGAUUGAAUGAGCCGAUGUCGGAUUAGCUAGUUGGCGGGGUAAAGGCCCACCAAGGCGACGAUCCGUAGCUGGUCUGAGAGGAUGAUCAGCCACACUGGAACUGAGACACGGUCCAGACUCCUACGGGAGGCAGCAGUGGGGAAUAUUGGACAAUGGGCGCAAGCCUGAUCCAGCCAUACCGCGUGGGUGAAGAAGGCCUUCGGGUUGUAAAGCCUUUUUGUUGGGAAAGAAAAGCAGCAGGUUAAUACCCCGCUGUUCUGACGGUACCCAAAGAAUAAGCACCGUCUAACUUCGUG